UACGAAGGGGGCUAGCGUUGUUCGGAAUCACUGGGCGUAAAGGGCGCGUAGGCGGCUUUAUAAGUCGGGGGUGAAAGCCUGUGGCUCAACCACAGAAUUGCCUUCGAUACUGUAGAGCUUGAGACCGGAAGAGGUAAGUGGAACUGCGAGUGUAGAGGUGAAAUUCGUAGAUAUUCGCAAGAACACCAGUGGCGAAGGCGGCUUACUGGUCCGGUUCUGACGCUGAGGCGCGAAAAGCGUGGGGGAGCGAACAGG
rnacentral:rRNA from 1 species